CGGUCCGGGAAGAUCCCACAUGCCGCGGAGCGGCUGGGCCCGUGAGCCAUGGCUGCUGAGCCUGCGUGUCCGGAGCCUGUGCUCCACAACGGGAGAGGCCACAACAGUGAGAGGCCCGCGUAAUGCAAAAAAAAAAAAAAAUUUAAAAAAUAGAGUUGUGAGACAUUACAAAAUAAAAUGGUACUGAAACAGGAGGGAAGGGGGCAGGGCACAACCUUUAAAAGAAUGACAUUGCCCAAGGACAUGACAUAAACUGAUUAGAACCAAAUAGGUCCAAGAUGGCAGACAAGUCGACUUAAGCCUCAGGAUACAUUCAUUGUAACACACCAGCAUGAUAAAUGACACACCCACCGGCACCAUGACAGUUCCAGGGCCGACCAUAAACGUCAAAAAGUGGGCAGUGGCCCAAUUCCUGAAAAUCCCCACCCCUUCCCCAAAAUAGCUGGAAUACUCCUCUUACUCAUUAGCCUAUGAAAUUACCCACCUCUAUAAAAAGUGACAUCCCCAUACCCUGGAGCCGCUCUCUCCUUCUGAGAUGGCCCACUCUGUGUCCGUGGAGUGUGUUUCUCUCUAAAUAAAUCCACUUCUUACCUAUCACUUUGUCCCUCACUGAAUUCUUUCUGUGAUGAGACAUCAAGAACCUGAGCUUCAUUAAGUCCUGAGACCAUGUGUGUGAUCUCAGUUAAAAGACCAUGGGUUCAUGUUCCAAUCUGGGUUUUGGCCAGGCUCAAGUCCUGGCCUGUGGGUUCAAGCCUCAGUCUGAGAUGCAUGGUUUCAGUACAAUAAAAUAACUGCUUCAAGAAUUUAGGUUUUUUUAAGUAGCUAGAGCUCAUCUCAGUGCUCAGGGGAUGUCAACAUGAAAAAUCCAGAGAUCUCAAGAAGAACUUAAAAUAUUUUCCAUUGUUUUUUGUUUGUUUGCUUUAGGUAUUGAGAUGACUUAACAUUCAUCAGGAAAAAACCGAAGUAGUAGAGAAUGUUAAUCUCAACUCCAAAGUACGGUAUUCCCCCAUUAUCCACCGUUUUGCUUUCUGAGGUUUGUCCCCAGAGGUCUACAGUGAUCUGAAAAUAUGAACUGGAAAAUCCCAGAAAUAAACAAUUCAUAGGUUUUAAAUUGUCGGCUAUUCUGAGUAGUGGGAUGAAAUCUCGUGCCCACCUGCUCCAUCCCAUCCAGGACAUGAAUCAUCCCUUUGUCCAGUCUAUCCCUGCCUGUUAGUAGCCAUCUUGGUUAUCAGAUUGGCUGUGCGGUAUCACAGUGCUUGAGUUCAAGUCACCCUUAUUUUACUUAGUAAUGGCCUCAAAGCACAAGAGUAGUGAUGCUGGCAAUUUGGAUAUACCAUAGAGAAGCUGUGGAGUGCUUUCUUUAAGUGAAAAGAUGAAAGUUCUCCAAAUAAUAAGGAAAGAAAAAAAAACUUAUCCUGGUAUUUCUAAGAUCUGCAGUAAGAACUAAUCUUCUAUCCGUGAAAUUGUGAAAAAAGAAAAGGAAAAAGGAAUUCGUGCUAGUUUUGCUGUCACACCUCAGACUUGCAAAAGUUAUGGCCACAGUGCAUGACUAUCCAUUCCAGUCUUGAGGCCAUUCUGAGGAAUAAAUGGAGUUGGAGCUACGAUGGGCAUCAUUUGAAGGGUCCUCAGAGACCAUCUUCUCUUGACCACAACAAGGAAAACACCGCAAGGACCACCAGAAAUACACAGUGACGCACAGUUCCCUCCCUGAAGUGUAGUGCCAAGCGUGUAGACAGCUGGAAAUACUGAGACUUGGUAAGGCCGACUAUCUCAGAUUUGCUGUGCUCAUUGUGGACUGCAUGUGAAUCACAGCUUCUGUAUAAGAAGGUUAUAGCUAUUAAGUGUUGAUGUGAAACUUGAAAGCAGCUCUGCUGGAUUCCUAUCAGAAUCCUGCAGAAAGUCAGCCACCUGGGUUCUAAUCUGCUGUAAAAGAUGAAGAUUUAGUUGACCUUAAUAAACCUGUCCUGUGUCCCAUCCACGAGGAAUGCUCGUAGUGGGCUGUGGCUGUUUCAGACUUCCUGGAACACGCUGCUCUCAAAAGAGCUGAUGUGUUCAGAUAAUCUGUGUAGGGCUAUGAUUUAUCAUUUAAACUUUCAGUUGUAUUCUGAGGUAACCACAAAUUAAAUUCAACCAAACUCGGGUCCACCAAGUGGGAAAAGGGGUGGAGGAGGGAAUAAUCUUGUUUCUUUUAGUAAUUUUUUAUUUGGGUUGUGGUUUUUUUCUGUGUUCCAUAUUAAGGCCUUUUUUUUUUUUUGCUUUGACUUGGAAUAACUUCUCAGAGCAUAUUGCUUGGUUAAGUAACUUGAAAUAGACAUUAGAAUUGCAAAGUGUCUCAUGAAUUUGCCAAUCCCUAGAUCCUAGAGUGGAACCAAAUAGCCUUAAUGUAAAGGGCAGUGAAUGCAUGGGGCUCUACUUAGGAACUGCUAAAGCCUCCUCUAAAUCAGGUCUAAAUUGUGUAGAAAACUGCGGUGGAAAGAGCAUGGUUUCUGUUCAGGCCAAGGGCUUCACUGACCUGUCCUUACAAAGUCAAAGCAAUGUGAGCAGAACCUCAACUAAAACCCACUUACCCUCAACUAAAACCCACUUGCAUGAUCUUUGACAAGAAUUCCAGAUACACUUGUGCCCAAAUGUUUAAGGUAUUAGACAUUCUGUAGACGCAGUGAUUGACUAGCGUAGCUCUCUAACCAACCCUCUGGUGUGUCUUUAUGUUGUUCAUUUGGAGAGUCAGGGGCAAAAGAAACAGAUGUAGCACUUCUGUUUUUAAUAAUUACGCCUUAAACUAUCCAGUAAUUUUUAGUCCUGAAAAGGCACAUGAGGAAGCUAUCCAGAAUUACUGAAAAGUCUUUCCAUUAUAAUGAGAGAGUCUGGUAAUUUCCUAGUUUUGUAUCUUUGGUUCAACAAAAAUAUUUCAAAGUGGCAUGGGACCACUUCAUGCAGAGUCUGGGUUUCUCUGUAAUAAAUUCUUUUGCCAAAUGUAGGAGUUGCAGGCUUGCUCCUGGCAAGAGUGAAGCAAACGGGUGAGUCGAACUAUCCUGAUGUGGGAACAUUUUCCUCUAGGAGUUCAGUCUUGAUAAAAGUGUCAGUGCAGGAAUCACACUCCUUGGGAGGGUUACAGUAUCACCUGACAGGACCUGCCAACCAUAUCUGGGCAACAGUGUUGGCAUUAUUUGAAGUGGCAGGCAGGAUGCCUACAUCCUGAUGUGUUUGUGUGAGUAGCUGAGCCAGCCAAGGAGAGGUCGGAUGAUUGAGAAACAAGGGAUUCUUGGUUAAACAGAAGACUUCAUUUGGGAACCAAAAAUCUUAAUAAAUAAUCUUUUGGACCUUGAGCCAUAUAUUUCCCCUGAAAAGUAUGCAUUUUUUUCUGCAAAAUUUUCUUGAGGGUUAUGUUAUUGAGGGAUGAACUGAGAUGAAUAUGUGGAACUGUUAUUUCAUGGCAUACUGUCCUAGAAAUCUGAAGACCUGCAGGAGAUUUAAAAAUUCCAACCCUUGUUAUAACUUUUUAAAAGAUUGAAAUUAUCAAAAUGCACAUGAGUCAAGUUUUAAUAUACUGUAUAAUGGGUGGAUGAGGCUGUCCAUUGUACCAUUUUUUUCUUUGAAUUCUCAGGCAUGGUUUGGCAGUGCAAGAACUCUGUAACAUUUACAAAUUCAAUAAAAAGUAAAUAUAUGGGAAAAAAAUACCAUCAUCUCUCUAACUCCUAGGUUUUUACAGGAAUUUCAUCAAUAAAGAUACUUUCAGCCAGGAAAGGGCAGCUCAUCUUGAUGAACAUGCAAUGGGGGAACGGUGGUUCCCAAAGGAAAACUUUCACCGGAAGAAGCUGGGAAAGAGACUGGACAGGCAAAAAGUUGCUCGUAGUUUAUUGGACAAAAAAAUGAAGAGAUUUUUCUCGUUAUUUCUUCUCUGUCAGAAGCAGUCAAAGAAGAAGGAUAGAUCUGAGGAAGUUUGGAAACUUUAGCUAUAUUUUUCAAAAACUCUGUUUAAGGAACAAAAUUAGGGUAAACUGCAAGCUCUUAGAGAUUCAGAUUUCUGCACAUAUUAUGAGAAAUAAAUCAGUUUUGAAAAUUAUCGAUGUAUUUCUAAAAUCAAUGAAUUUCAACAGCUUCUAUGGAUGCAUCAUGAUUUAAAAUAUCAGUUGAUGUCCUGCAAAACAACUUCAUAUACAAAUGUAUCAGUUGGGUCUGCUGGGAAGCAGAAACUGAGAUGAUGUUAAGAGUGCAGGAGGCUUAUUGAGAAGUAACAUCUGUGAAAGGAAAAAGAAGGAAGCUGGACUGGGCAGAGACGCCAUCAGACCACAAUACAGAUCUGCCAACAACUCAUCCAUUGCAAUGGGGGGCUCCAGAGCAAAGAUUGCCCAUUAGAGGAGUUCUGCCUUGGGUGGAAAUUGCCAGUCUUUUGUUCCACUAUCUUGCUGAGUCAUUGAUUGGGGCCACCUCCAGCAGAGUAAGACCUUGGCCUAAAAGCUGAAGGAGACUUGAAGGAGUUAACUGCUAGAUGCUGUCAGCUAACUGCACAGUCCUUAAAGAUGGACAAGGAGUCCUUUACUUUUUUUUUUUUUUUUUGGCCACACCAUGGGGCAUGUGAGAUCUUAGUUCCCUGACCAGAGGUUGAACCUGCACCCCCUGGAGUGGAAGCACGGAGCUUUAACCACUGGACCACCAGGGAAGUCCAAAGGAGUCCUUUCUUGAAGGGACAUCUGAGCUACACAACAUCUCCAUGUCUGCCACAACAAGUUAGCAUCAGUGUUACAUACAAAACAAAUUAUGUGCUGCAUCCUUACAAUUUUUUUUUUUUUGCGGUACGCGGGCCUCUCACUGUUGGGGCCCCUCCCGUUGCGGAGCACAGGCCCCGGACGCGCAGGCUCAGCGUCCAUGGCUCACGGGCCCAGCCGCUCCACGGCAUGUGGGAUCUUCCCGGACCGGGGCACGAACCCGUGUCCCCUGCAUCGGCAGGCGGACUCUCAACCACUGCGCCACCAGGGAAGCCCCAAUUUUUUAUUUUUAAAAAAUGAUAUGGAUGUAAAACCUAUAAACAACAUCAGUUUUUAGGAAAUGCCAACUGACCAGUUGACCUGAUUUAUUCUAACAUUUGCUUUAUACACAUUCUUGGAAGAAAACAGGGCUUUUGUAGGUCGUGUGUGUUUAAUAAAAUCUAGGGUAACUCCACUAGUAUGGCAGAUCAUUAAGCUCUCAAUGGGGUAACAACCCUGAUAUACAAAGAAUUGACAGCAGAUUUAUUUGUGCAAUAAAUUUAUCUGUUGUAAUUAAACUACAUGCUUUACAAAAUGAACAUGGAAUAAGACAAUAGUAUUUAAAAAAUCACUUGUCUUAUAUAGUUCAUAAGGCACUACCACCUCAAGGCAUGAGGUAUGACUUCAGAGAAACUCAAAACAUUGAUUCAUAGUCCUUAUAGAUAUUAAUAUAAUAGGAAUAGUCACUAUUAGGUAACUAACUAAAAUUUUCUCCUUUGUCUUAUUAUUACUAUACCACUCCUAAUGAGCACCCCUAAAGACAUUAAGGACAUUAAAUAAUUAGCCCUCUAGUUUGUCAAUAUUUAUCAAAAUUGCAAAAUACUUUCCCAUUGGCCCAGCAGUCCUUCUUCAGGGAAUUUAUCCUCAGAUAUACUUGAAUACAAGCAAAAUAAUUUUACUUAUUCCAUCACUGUUUAUAAUCAAAGGUUAGGGGAAAAAACCCAGAUGUCCCUCAGAAGAAAAUUAAUAAAAUAAAUUAUUGUAUAUCCAUUUAAUAGAAUUAUAUACUAUAAAAACAUGAGAGUGUUCUCAUGUAUGGAUUUGGAGAAAUUUUUAAGAUAAAUCAUUAAGUGUAGAAAAAAGGUGCAAAAAAGUGUUUGCUACAAUUUGUUAAUAAAAUGGGAAUAUAAGAGUGUAUACUUUUAGACAUAAUGAAUGAGUUUAGCAAUGUUGCAAGAUAUAAGAUAAAUUUUAAAAAAUCAGUUGUAUUUCUAUAUACUACCAAUAAACAAUCUGACAAUAAUAUAAGAAAACAACCAUUUACAAUAGGAUCACAGAGAAUAAAAUAUUUAGGAAUACAUUUAAUAAAAGAAGUACAAAACUUGUACUGCGAAAACUGCAAAACAUUACUAAAAGAAAUUUAAAAUUGUACAGAUGGAAAGCCCAUGUUCAUGAAUCAGGAGAGUCAAUAUAUUUUUUAAAUUAAUUAUAUAUUUAUUUAGGCUGCGCCGGGUCUUAGUUGCGGCACACAGGAUCUUCGUUGCAGCAUCAGGUCUUAGUUGAGGCAUGCAUGUGGAAUCUAGUUCCCCGAGCAGGGAUCGAAUCCGGGCCCCCUCCAUUGGGAGCAUGGAGUCUUACCCACUGGACCACCAGGGAAGUCCCUCAAUAGUAAGAUGGCAAUACUUGCCAAAUUUAUCUAUAGAUUCAACGCAAUCUCUAUCAAUAUCCAAGCUCUCUUUUUUGCAGAAAUUGACAAGCUGAUCAUAAAAUUCAUAUAGAAUUACAAGGAACCCAGAAUAGCCAAAGCAAUCUUGAAAAAGAACAAAGUUGAAGGACUCACACUUCCUUAUUUCAAAACUUACUACAAAGUACAGUAAUCAAGACACGGUAGCACUGGCAUAAGCUUAGAUAAAUAGAUUGAUGGAGUAGAAUUCAGAGUCCAAAAAUGAACCCUGACAUUUAUGUCAAUUAAUUUUCAGUAAUGCCAUCAAGACAGUUCAAUGGGAAAAGAAUAGUCUUUUCAGCGAAUGGUGGUGGGGAAACCAGAUACCCAUCUGCAAAAGAAUGAAACUGGACCCCUUCUUCACACCAUACACAAAAAUUUACUCAAAAUGGAUCAUAAACCUAAAUCUAAGAGCUGAAGCUAUAAGACUCAGGAGAAAUUAUAGGGAUAAAUCUUCACGACCUUGGGUUAGGCAAAGCCCUUUUAGCUAUUUCACCAAAAAUCACAAGCAGCAACAACAAAAAUAGAUAAAUUAGUCUUAAUCAAAUUAAAAACUUUUGUUCUUCAAAGGACACAUCAAUAAAGUAAAAAGACAAACCAUAGAACGGGAGAAAAUAUUUGCAAAUCAUGUAUCUGAUAAGAGACUUGUAUCCAGAAUAUAUAGAGAACACAACUCAAUAAAAAAAAGACAAAUAAUCCAAUUAAAGAAUAAGCAGAGGCUCUGAAUAGACAUCUCUCCAAAGAAGGUAUACAAAAGGUGAAUAAGUACAUGAAAAGAUACUCAACAUCAUUAGCCAUCAGGGAAAUGGAAAUCAAAAGAAAAAUGACAUACCACUUCAUAUCUACUAGGAUGCUUAUAGUAAAAAAGAUAUACAAUAACAAGGUGCUGGUAAGGAUAUGGAGAAAUUGUAAUCUUCAUACAUUACUGGUUGAAAUGUAAAAUGAUGUAACCACUUUGAAAAACAGUCUGGCAGUUCUUCAAAAGAUUAAACAUAGGGGUACCAUAUGCCCCAGCAAUUCUAUUCCUAGAUACAAACUCAGGAGAAAUGAAAACAUAUGUUUGUACAAAAACUUGUACACGAAUGUUUGUAAUAACAUUACAACCAAAAAGUAUAGUAUAACCAAAAAGUAUAGCCAAAAAGUGGAAAUAACCCAAAUGUACAUCAACUGAUGAAUGGAUAAAUAAAAUGUGGUAUAGCCAUACCAUGGAAUGUUAUUCAAUACUAAAAAGAAAUGAAAUACUGAUAUAUGCUGUAACAUGAAGGAACCUUGAUAUUAUGCUAAGUAAAAGAAGCCAAUCACAAAAGACCACACUUUGUAUGAUUACAUUUAUUUGAACUCUAUGGAAUGGGCAAAUCUAUGGAGGCUGAAAGUAGAUUAUUGGUUGCCUGGAGCUGUGGGAGUUUGGAGAGAAAUGGGGAAUGACCGCUAGUGGAUAUGAAGUUUCUCUUGAGGUGAUAAAAAUAUUCCAGAAUUGAUUGUGGUAAUGACUGAAUAAAUUUGUGUAUAUAUAAAAAAAGCAUCGAUUUGAAUGCUUUCAAUUGUGAAUUGUAUAGUAUGUGAAUUAUAUCUCAAUAAAGCUGUUUUUAAAAAUAACUUAUGUUUGUACAAGUUAGUACUAUUACGAAGAGUGAAAAUAACUUUAUAUUGGAGAAACUUGGUUGACUCUCCCUUAACCAAGUAAUCAAAAUUAGCAUCACUACUGACGGGAUAAACUGUCAUCAUGUCCCCUGUGAUGUGGUGCACUCAGGAUACCAUACAUUUGCUAUUCGUAUCCAAAAUACAAAAACCUGAAUCUUAUCAUUGGAGAAUUUCAAACAAACCCAAAUUGAGGGACAUUAUAAGAAAAAAUGGCCUGUCAUCUUAAGAAAUGGCAAUACCAUGAAAGACGAAGAAAGUCUGAGGCACUGUUCCAGAUUAGAGGAAACUAAAGAGACACAAAAACUAAAUGCAGUAUAUGAUCCUGCACUGGAUCCUAGACCAGAAAAAGCAAUCUCUGUAAAGAACAUUGUAGGGACAAUUAGUGAAAUUUCAAUAAGGUCUGUAGAUCGGAUGAUAGUAUUGUAUCCAUGUUAGCUUUCUGAAUUUAAUAACUGUAUUCCAGUUAGGUAAAUAUAAGUCCUUGUUUUUAGGAAAUGCACACUGACUCACUGAAAUGCUUGGGGUAGAGAGGGAUGAUGUGUGCAAAUUGGUCUCAAAUGAUUCUGAAGAAAUAUUAGACACACACAUUUAUGUAUGUGUGUAUAUAUGUAUGUGCGUAUGUAUGUAUGUAUGCAUGAAGAGACAAGGACAGAGAUAGAGACAGAGACAGAGGAAAUGAUAUAGCAAAUGGGGUAAAAUAUUAAAAAUUGGUAAGUCUGCAUGAAAGUUAUAUGGGAAACUUUGUCCUGUUUUUUUUUUUAAAAUAAAUUUAUUUAUUUAUUUUUGGCUGUGUUGGGUCUUCGUUGCUGUGCGCGGGCUUUCUCUAGUUGCGGCAAGUGGGGGCUGCUGUUCGGUGUGGUGCACGGGCUUCUCCUUGCGGUGGCUUCUCUUAUUGUGGAGCACGGGCUCUAGGCGUGUGGGCUUCAGUAGUUGUGGAGCGCGGGCUCAGUAGUUGUGGUGCACGGGUUUAGUUGCUCCGUGUCAUGUGGGAUAUUCCCGGACCAGGGCUCGAACCCAUGUCCCCUGCAUUGGCAGGUGGAUUUCUAACCACUGUGCCACCAGGGAAAUCCCUCUGUCCUGUUUUUGAAACUUUUCUGUUAAAAUAUUAUAUUUGUGUUUGCAGCAACAAACUCUGAAGGAAUAUAUAAGAAACUAACAAAAAAUGGUUACCUGCUAGGGAAUUGGAGGGAAGCACUAUAGCUGAUGGGCAGGGUGAAAAAGACACUUCAUGAAUCACGUGGAUGUAUUACUUACUUGAAUUUUUAAAUGCCAAGUUAUUUUUUAAAAUUAACCUUUGAAUAUCUUUGAAUUACAUACCAUGGUUACUCAUAUUCAGAUAUUGAACUCCUUAUACAGUGGGUGCUUACCUGAUGAGGUUACUUUCUCUGGACUCACAUUAUGCAAGUUGUUUUAAUAGAUAUUAAGUAACUUGCUUAAGGCAAUAAAGGACUUGAGUUGGUUGACCUGAGUGCAAACCAAAAUGUAGCCCUUAUUCUCACUCUUCAGUUGCCUUUCCAACCCUUAGUAUCUGAGACUGAGAAUCUUUGGAGAUGUUAGCCUUUUGCUGCUGCGGAGAGGAGGAGAAAAGAGAAACUGGCAGUCAGUACAGAUGCUUCAUGUGAUUUGUCCUUAAACUACUGCCUACUUGUGUCUACUUCUAGCCUCUUCCAACUCUGAUCUAUAAUUAAGAGAAGGUAGAUUUUAUUUCUUAAGUACAUUACUGAGAUUGUAACAGUCAAUUCAGAAUUGGCUAUGAAGCCACUGUGCUCUCUCUCUAUUGGCCCGUUGUAGCCAUCACCCCCCCUCCUCUGUGUGUAGUGUGUGUUUGUAACAUAUUAUGCAUACAACAAAGAGUGUAUGUGUUUAAAUUUUAAAAUAAUAAGAUGAACAGUUGUGUACCUACUACUCAGGUUAGUAAUAGACCAUUACCAGUAUCUCAUUAGAACCUUGUAUAAAACCUCCCCAGUUGCGAACACUUUCUACACUAUUUUUUUCCUACAAUUUACAAUAUAUAUUAAAGAUCUCUCCAUAUGCAUACAACCUUCACAACCACCAUUAUGAAUUCAGUAUUAUUUUAAUGUUUUGUUAUAAUUUGACUGCUUAUGUAUGUAUCCGUAAAAAUAUUAGUUUUCUAAUGUUGCAUAACCCAUUACCCCAAAACUUAGUGGCUUAAAACAACACACAUUUAUUAUCUCAUAGUUUCUGAGAGUUAAAGAUUUUGAAAUGGAUCAUCUGAGUACUUCUGGCUCAGAAUCCCUAAAAAAGUUGCAGUCAAAAUAUUAACCAGAUUUCAAUUAUCUGAAGCCUUUACUGGAGCUGAGGGAUCUAUUUCCAAGACUGUCAGUGAGGGCUUCCCCUAGAGGGUUGCUUGGGUGUCCUCAGAAAAUGGCAGUGAUUUCUCCCAGAAUGAGAGAUGAGAGAGAGAGACAGUAAAGUGACCAUGUCUUUUAAGACUUAGGCUCAGAAGCCACAUACAUAACUUCUGCAAAAUCCUAUUUUUGCAGGUGAGUAUUGCCUAGGAUUGUCUAUUCAACAUGGGAGUGUUAUCUAUACUGGGGAAGGAAUACCAGGAAGUAAGGCUCAUAGGGCCAUCUUAGAGGUUGAGUAUCACAAUAAAUAACAUACAACUCAGUUCUACUUUUUUUUUUUUUUGCACCUUAUACAGUGAAUCAUAUAGUGUGUAGUUUCCUGUGUGUCUUGCUUAGUGGUUUUUUUGUUUGUUUUCUCUUUUUUCCUUUGGAGGUUCACAGGCACAUUUAUAUAUUAUCAGUGUUAUUUUUAAAGGGUUUACCUAUGUUGAUGUGUGUCUUAGGUCUUUUGGGCUGUUAUAACAAAAUACCAUAGACUGAGUACCUUAUAAACAAUAGAAAUUUAUUUUUCACAGUUUUUGAGGCUGGGAAGUCCAAGAUCAAGACACCUUCAGAUUCAGUGUCUGGUGAAAGCCUACUUCCUGGUUCAUAGAUAACAGUCUUCUCUCUUGUCCUUACAUGGUGGAAGGGGAGAGGCUCUCUCUGCAGUCUCUUUUAUGUUGGUACUAACCUCAUUCAUGAGGGCGCCACCUGCAUGUCCUUACCACUUCCCCAAACCCAAUCUCCACAUACCUUCACAUUGGAGAUUGGGAUUCAACAUAUGAAUUUUGGAGGGAAUGUAAACAUAAACUGUGAUUCAUCCAUUUUUGCUGCUCUAUAGUAUUCCACAAUUUAUUUACGCAUUCUACUAUUUAUGCUAUAACAAACAAUGCAGUGAGGAAUUUUCCUUGGGAUAUAUAUGCUAUGGGAAUAAAUCUAUGCCAGUUUGUAUAGGACAUGCCCAUAUUCAUAUUUCAAGAAAAGAAAUAGUUAUCUAAAGUGGUUUUAAUCAUUUACAUUCCCAUGGCAGUGGAUGAGAAUUUUAAUAGCUUUACAUCCUUGCCAAAGCUUAGCAUUGUUCAACUUCUAAGUUUUUGCUAAUUCAAUGGGCAAGAAAUAAUAUCUCAUUGUGAUUUUAACUUGCUUUUCCCUGAUUACUAGUGAGGUGAACAUCUAACCAUCAUUAUCUCCUUUAAAGUAAACCACCUGGGGACUUCCUUGGUGGCACAGUGGUUAAGAAUCCACCUGCCAAUGCAGGGGACAUGGGUUCGUAGCCCUGGUCCAGGAAGAUCCCAUCCCACAUGCCGUGGAGCAACUAAGCCCGAGCACCACAACUACUGAGCCUGCGCUCUAGAGCCUGUGAGACACAACUACUGAGCCUGCAUGCCGCAACUACUGAAGCCCGUGUGCCUAGAGCCUGUGCUCCUCAACAAGAGAAGCCACCGCAAUGAGAAGCCCGUGCACAGGAACAAAGAGUAGCCCCCACUCGCCGCAACUAGAGAAAGCCUGUGUGCAGCAACGAAGACCCAAUGCAGCCAAAAAUCAAUCAAUCAAUCAAUUAAUUAAUUAAUUAAAAAUAAAGUAAACCACUUGUCCUGGAUACUAAUUCUUUUUCGGUUGAGUUGCAACUACUUUCUCCUACUUAAUGGCUUGUGCUUUCACUUUUUGUAUGCCUUAUUUUGAUUUACAGAGGUUCUUAGUUUUAAUAAAAUCAAAUUUAUCAAUCUUUCCCUUUAUGGUUUGUGUUUUUUUGUGUAUUAUUUGAGAAAUAUUUUCCUACUUUGAGCUCAUAAAGAUAUUCUCUUUUUUUCUUCUCUUUUUUUUUUUUUUUUUUUGCGGUACGCGGGCCUCUCACUGCUGUGGCCUCUCCCUUUGCGGAGCACAGGCUCCGGACGCGCAGGCUCAGCGGCCAUGGCUCACAGGCCCAGCCACUCCGCGGCAUGUGGGAUCUUCCCGGACUGGGGCACGAACCCGUGUCCCCUGCAUUGGCAGGCAGACUCUCAACCACUGCGCCACCAGGG